rnacentral:rRNA from 1 species
UACGGGGGGAGCAAGCGUUGUUCGGAUUUACUGGGCGUAAAGGGCGCGUAGGCGGCCACCGCAAGUCGACUGUGAAAUCUCUGGGCUUAACCCAGAAAGGUCAGCCGAUACUGCGGGGCUAGAGUGCAGAAGGGGCAACUGGAAUUCUCGGUGUAGCGGUGAAAUGCGUAGAUAUCGAGAGGAACACCUGCGGCGAAGGCGGGUUGCUGGGCUGACACUGACGCUGAGGCGCGAAAGCAUGGGGAGCGAACAGG